CCCACCCUUUGCGUUAGGCCUCGAGUGACGGAAACAGAUCCAUCUAUUUAUCAUUCACUCUGGGGAAGCCAGCUGCCUGAUCAUAAGCAAUCCUAUGAAGAGGCCCAAGAAUUGAGAAACUGAGGCCUCUUGCCCAACAGCCAUGUGAGUGAUCUCAGAAGUGGAUCCUCCCAGCCCAUUCAAGCCUUUGGAUGACUGCAGCCCCAACUGACAGUUUGACUGUAAACUCAUGACAGACUGAACCAGAACCACCCAACUAAGCUGUUCCCAGAUUUCUGAUCCUGGGAAAUUGUAUUGGUCAUCAUGAUCACCAAACAGCCUUGUCUAAUGUUGGCAUUCUGUGAAAUUACUUGUGUUCAACAGAAGUACAUCACGGCCUCACUGCGAAGCCUAUUCAGCUCCUGGAUGUCAGAGACUGCUUUCCAAUUUCUCAGAAGUAGCGCAAGACAGUGAUUCACUGGCAGGCAAGAAAUCUGUAUCUCUAAUAAGAUACCUAUGUGAUUCUGAUUGAAGGACUCUAAGACCAUGCUUUAAUAACUAUUCCUAUGGUAAGAAGUAGGGCUGAAAAUGGAGGAGCAGAUUAUAAAUAUCCUUAAAACACAGACUCAUAGGUUUGAGCAUAAUUCUGCCAGCAAUAACAACCAUUAACGGCAUAUGAGCAAAGAAGAACCUUGCCAAGGAGGGUUCAGAAAGAGUUUCCUGUUGGUAACAAAUAGAAAGGUUAGAUACAGUCUAAGGAUGGAGGUGAGCCUGGGGA